UUUCUGUGGCGGACGGGUGAGUAACGCGUGGGUAACCUGCCCUAUACAGGGGGAUAACAACCAGAAAUGGUUGCUAAUACCGCAUAAGCGCACAGGACCGCAUGGUCCGGUGUGAAAAACUCCGGUGGUAUAGGAUGGACCCGCGUUGGAUUAGCCAGUUGGCAGGGUAACGGCCUACCAAAGCGACGAUCCAUAGCCGGCCUGAGAGGGUGAACGGCCACAUUGGGACUGAGACACGGCCCAG
rnacentral:rRNA from 1 species